UCGUUAUAGUUCCUCUCCAUAGCUCCUCCUUUCAUUUUCAAAUACAUGUUCAACAAGAUGGCAACCCCAAACAGAGUUAUCACCCUUAUCACUCUGGAAUUCAACCUGAUCCUACUAUACAUUGGCUCUACCCAAACAUGUAUUGUUCAGAUAGCACAGCCUUCCCUUCUAGAAAUUGACUAUACUUAUAAGAUUAUUACUAUACCAUGUAAUUUCUCUGCUACCAACUGCUCUACAUCCCAGCCUGAAGUUCUGUGGUUUCGCCAAAAAGCUGAAAACCAACCCGAACGUUUAUGUCCAAAAGAUCAAUGCCUAGAUGAGGCAGGCAAAUUUACAACUAAAUCACAGAUUCCUCAUCAAGUUUUUCUUACUCUCAACGAAGUAGAUGUAAGUGACAGCGCAAUUUACUUCUGUGGAAUAGCAUUUUCAGAUUCAAUUGAACCAAAAUCUAAGCAAACUGGACCAGGAACAACACUGGUGGUAAGAAACGAAAAGCUUCUCAGCCACGAAGGAGAGAAUAUCCUAAUAGCCUUCUUAGCCCUGCUAUCUUUUUAUAUUGCUAUUCUAAGUGUGAUCUUCAUAAUCAUCUCCAAACAGUUAAAAUUGGAACCACCAAAUAAAAGAGGAAGUGAUAAAGCAUCACAGAAGAAGAGGAGUGCUCGACGUAUUUUUCAAGAAAUUGCGCAAGAACUAUAUCAUAGGAGAUAUGUGGAAACAAAACAAGAAGAGAGAGAUGACUACAUCUAUGAAAACAGAAGAGCACAUUCCAACUUUGAAAAAUCAUAAGAAAAAAAGGAAGAAUUUAUUACCAAACAAGAGAUAGAGAACAUUACCAGAUAUUAAAGAGGUUUUACACAAACAAAACCAAUGCAACUAAAAUUAGAAAGAAAUCAGAAAGCUGGAAAACAAUUUUUAUAGCAAGUGUCUCCAAUAAAGGUAUCUUUUUUUUAAAUAUAGAGAAAACCAAGUCAAACUGAUAAAAAUACAAGGCAUUCUCCAAUUGUAAACGAUCAAAGGAUAUGAAACAGAAGCCAACACUACUAGUACCACUACUAUUGGUGGAGAUGGUCCUAAUUUGUCUCUUUGCCUUUAGUCUGUCCCCUCUCUCCAAAUUCGCCUUCAUAGAUCACAUUCCUACAGAGAAACUUUUGUGACUCCCUAGAGACUCUUAACAUCUUUUAAAUAUUUUGGCACGUAAAUAUUUUGCUUUGGCACUUAAAGACUUCAUACCCUGGUCCUAGACUACUCUCCUAACCUCAUACAGUAUGUAUGUGCUCUCCAACAUUGCUCAGACAGCCAAGCAGGCCUUCUCAGCUCCUCACGAGAUCUUCCAUUUCCUGAAUCUGUAACACUCCCUUGGUUUUUUACCUGGAAUGCAUUCCCUGCUCAGCUUCACCCCCAAGACUCAGCUGCGGCACAAUGGAUAGAGUACCAGUGCAUGGGUCAGGAGAACCCCAGUUCAGACCUCCCCUCAGACAUGGAACCCUUACUAGAUGUGUGAACCUUGCACAAGUCACUUAACCCCAAUUGUCUUGCUUACAAAACAAAAAACUUAGCUGAGGCAUAUAUAUAAAGUCUUUCUCAAUCACCUUUCCCUCCCUCAUAAAAAGCACCUUCGAUUUGUUCUUGUAUGUUUAUAUUUGUCUAUAAUGUCUCCCCAGAGAUAAUGCAAACUCCUUAAGGAGAGGGAUAUUUCAUCUUUGUCUCUGCAUUCCCAGCAACGAGCACAAAGCCUGGGACAUAGGAGCCACUUAAUAAAUGCUUGUGGAUUACUCGACUGAAUAGGCUUCCAGGCCAGCAAUGAAAGCCUGCUUAUCCUUUAACAUCCCUGAAGUAUAUUACAAAUAAUGCUCUAGAACUCAGCCCCCAUAUAUAAUGUUUCUAUUCAGUUUCCACCCUGAGAUGCCAAAGACCUAAGUAAAAACUCCCCUUUCCUUCGAGCCCUGGGGACCUCAGGCUCCCAGCUCAGGCUUUAGUAGGGACCCUGUGUGAGGAUGAGGAAAUCAUCUCCCCCAACCCGCUCUUCCCUUCUCAUUCCCCUUCAUAAAAUCUUGUUCCUAAUGAGACCAAGCUGGGGAGGGGGAGAGGGGGAAAGAGGGAGAGAAUGGAAGGAGCAAUAGCAGAGUGUCUGUAAGCAUAGCAGCAUCCUCUCUCCUCUAUGCACUCUUUUCUCCUACAUUGGUUGUGAGACAGUAAAGUUCUGGAGGGAGGGAGAGAGGGAAAAAGAGGAAUGGAGACAAGAGCUUUGGGGAACAAGGGAUGCCAGGAAGCCAGUAGCAAUUAAGAGGAAAGGAAAAGGAGUAUCUAUUGCCAUUCAUGUAUAAAGUCCAAGCUGGAUAUCACCUGCAAACAUUUUUCUCUUUUUGAAAAUCUUAGGAGUCCUAAUGAAUCUAUCUGAAAUAAAUUCAUUUGGAAUUUACACAUAUCUAUGUGAAUUUGGCUAUUUCACCAAUUAGUACUCAUGACAUAAAAAAUAGAAAUAACACUGGAAAUGAGUAAGCAGGGGAAACAAAGGGGAAGACAAAUGAAUAAGGAAGAAUUCCUAGCUGCACCAACAUGUAGAGCACCUAAUAACAUUCAAAUGCUCAAAAUGUCAGGAAACAUGAGAGGAAAUGUGUUAUUAACCAACAUGCAUUUAUUAAGUGCCUACUCUGUGCCAUGCAAUGCACCAGAUGAUGAGGAUACAAAGACAAAAAAAGUUCCUCAAGGAACUUGCAUAUAAUAUAAAAAAAAGAAUAUUGACCUGGAAGAACCUUGGGUUCCAGUCAGCUCCUUCAUGUGACUUUGAGCUAGUCAUUUCAAUUCUGCUUCCUGAUAUGUUAAAUGAUUAAUCUAUAAGUCCCUUUAUAGCUCUAAGAAAUUUAAAUUUAAAUCUAAAAAUCCUAAUUACUACCUCUACUGUUUGAUGAGCUUUUCUAACAUGUACUAAAAAAAAAAAAAAAAAUCUAAUGAAAAUUCAUCAGAUGUGGAACCACUAAGUUCAAAUGUUUAAUGAAUGGGACUGAAACAAUGAUAAAUCUUUCUGUUACUAUUUUUAACAUAAUAACAAGUAUUUUUCCAGAUAAAGAACUACGAAACUCAAAAACAAAAGACCUCUUUCUUAAGUUUAAUAACAUUUUUAGUCAAAAUGUGUCAACUGAUCCAACAACCCAGCAUUACAAGUGAAUGGGAUAAACUGAGUGAAGGCAUCUCAUAGGAAUGUGGCCUUAAACUAUACCCUAAUUGUGACUUGAAACUCUGCAAUAAUAAAUUGAGCUAUAGCUAA